UUAAUUGGCAACACUGAGUCAUAAUUCCUUGAUUAUCUAAAUGUUGGGAUUAUGUUUGAUUUGUCCUGGAAAGAUAAAAUAAUAAUAGCUAUCAUAAUGUUUCAGAGAGUAUUACUGAUCUUAAGAAAAUAAAAAGUUCGUAUCAAGAUGAACGAGAGGGAUAUUCCAAGUGUUCCCAUUACAACAUUAGCAGGAGUAGCCAGCCUAACAGACCUAUUACCGGUGUUACCACUCCCAACACCAUUACCAUCAACACUUAACAACAAGUCACAGCUGUUUCAUCCCUUUAGUGGCUGAGGAAGCAGCAAAGUUACUGGCAACUCGUGACAAGGAUUUAGUCUCACAGCUGCUUGAU